rnacentral:rRNA from 1 species
CUAAGCGUACACGGUGGAUGCCCUGGCAGUCAGAGGCGAUGAAGGGCGUGCUAAUCUGCGAUAAGCGCCGGUAAGGUGAUAUGAACCGUUAUAACCGGCGAUACCCGAAUGGGGAAACCCAGUGUGAUUCGUCACACUAUCAUUAACUGAAUCCAUAGGUUAAUGAGGCGAACCGGGGGAACUGAAACAUCUAAGUGCCCCGAGUAAAAGAAAUCAACCGAGAUUCCCCCA